AUCAGCUGUCGGGAAGCAUGCCGGUGGCAAGCGGUUUGAUUGCCGUGUCUUUUGCAGGUUGACUGGCUAUCACGGUAUGAUUGGGGGAUGUCGUUGUAGCUUCACUCUCUUCACCGCCAAACGAGCCCAUCCUGCCUGGACUGAGGACCAGGACUUCUUAAGACAAGAUGGGUUCGAACUCGAAGACAACAGCACAAACAAAAUUCUUCCAAAGACCAUAACAAGCCAUUUCCGGAAGAAGCCAGAAUUGAAUAAAGCCAAAUAAAAAGCUGAAAAUGAAGCCGAUGAGUGGGCCGCGAUGCCGCCCUCUCACUGUAUUCCUCAUCCUCCUGUUCUACGGAUAAUCCAUACGUCAAACGAUGAAUAGCUUCAAAGAAAGUGUAACCCAUAUAAAGUGACGGAUCACGACGUAGUUAGAAGGCAAUCGAUCACUACUUACCAGAAACAGAAAUGAACAUUACAGUACUUUAGGGUUCAAUGCCGCUGUUUCUUUUAUUGUUCAGUCCUAACCGAUAUGAUUGCAUUCUAUUAUUAAUGUCUUUUACAUUGUUUUCCUAAUCCCUCUCUCUUUGGCAUUGAAGUAACAACCAAGAACUGCAGGAAUAGCUAGCGAACUAACCAAGACUUGGCACCAAAUUUUAUCCGUUACAUUUUCGGUUAACUGCUACACAUCUAUGCUAUGUUAAUUUGUCUAUAUCACGAAUAAAUCAAACCAAUAAA